rnacentral:rRNA from 1 species
AUUGAACGCUGGCGGCAGGCCUAACACAUGCAAGUCGAACGGUAACAGGAAGCAGCUUGCUGCUUUGCUGACGAGUGGCGGACGGGUGAGUAAUGUCUGGGAAACUGCCUGAUGGAGGGGGAUAACUACUGGAAACGGUAGCUAAUACCGCAUAACGUCGCAAGACCAAGGAGGGGGACCUUCGGGCCUCUUGCCAUCGGAUGUGCCCAGAUGGGAUUAGCUAGUAGGUGGGGUAACGGCUCACCUAGGCGACGAUCCCUAGCUGGUCUGAGAGGAUGACCAGCCACACUGGAACUGAGACACGGUCCAGACUCCUACGGGAGGCAGCAGUGGGGAAUAUUGCACAAUGGGCGCAAGCCUGAUGCAGCCAUGCCGCGUGUAUGAAGAAGGCCUUCGGGUUGUAAAGUACUUUCAGCGGGGAGGAAGGGAGUAAAGUUAAUACCUUUGCUCAUUGACGUUACCCGCAGAAGAAGCACCGGCUAACUCCGUG